rnacentral:rRNA from 1 species
GCAGAAGAGGACAGUGGAACUCCAUGUGUAGCGGUGGAAUGCGUAGAUAUAUGGAAGAACACCAGUGGCGAAGGCGGCUGUCUAGUCUGUAACUGACGCUGAGGCUCGAAAGCAUGGGUAGCGAACAGGAUUAGAUACCCUGGUAGUCCAUGCCGUAAACGAUGAGUGCUAAGUGUUGGAGGGUUUCCGCCCUUCAGUGCUGCAGCUAACGCAUUAAGCACUCCGCCUGGGGAGUACGACCGCAAGGUUGAAACUCAAAGGAAUUGACGGGGGCCCGCACAAGCGGUGGAGCAUGUGGUUUAAUUCGAAGCUACGCGAAGAACCUUACCAGGUCUUGAUAUCUUCUGCCAAUCUUAGAGAUAAGACGUUCCCUUCGGGGACAGAAUGACAGGUGGUGCAUGGUUGUCGUCAGCUCGUGUCGUGAGAUGUUGGGUUAAGUCCCGCAACGAGCGCAACCCUUAUUAUCAGUUGCCAGCAUUCAGUUGGGCACUCUGGUGAGACUGCCGGUGACAAACCGGAGGAAGGUGGGGAUGACGUCAAAUCAUCAUGCCCCUUAUGACCUGGGCUACACACGUGCUACAAUGGACGGUACAACGAGUCGCGAAGUCGUGAGGCUAAGCUAAUCUCUUAAAGCCGUUCUCAGUUCGGAUUGUAGGCUGCAACUCGCCUACAUGAAGUUGGAAUCGCUAGUAAUCGCGGAUCAGCAUGCCGCGGUGAAUACGUUCCCGGGCCUUGUACACACCGCCCGUCACACCAUGAGAGUUUGUAACACCCAAAGCCGGUGAGAUAACCUUCGGGAGUCAGCCGUCUAAGGUGGGACAGAUGAUUAGGGUGAAGUCGUAANCAAGGUAGCCGUA